rnacentral:pre_miRNA from 1 species
UACUGCGGAAGAGGGUCAUAUAACCGGGAGUAAAGGCCCCCUUUAGUCCCGGGUGUGCGAACCGGGACUAAAGGUGGGACAUUAGUCCCGAAACCUUAGUCCCGGCUCACAGUCCGGGACUAGAGGUGGAUUUCGUCCGGGACUAAAGGCCGGUGUUGUAGCAGUG